rnacentral:rRNA from 1 species
AGCGAACGCUGGCGGCAGGCCUAACACAUGCAAGUCGAACGAACUCUUCGGAGUUAGUGGCGGACGGGUGAGUAACACGUGGGAACGUGCCUUUAGGUUCGGAAUAACUCAGGGAAACUUGAGCUAAUACCGGAUGUGCCCUUCGGGGGAAAGAUUUAUCGCCUUUAGAGCGGCCCGCGUCUGAUUAGCUAGUUGGUGAGGUAAAGGCUCACCAAGGCGACGAUCAGUAGCUGGUCUGAGAGGAUGAUCAGCCACAUUGGGACUGAGACACGGCCCAAACUCCUACGGGAGGCAGCAGUGGGGAAUCUUGCGCAAUGGGCGAAAGCCUGACGCAGCCAUGCCGCGUGAAUGAUGAAGAUCUUAGGAUUGUAAAAUUCUUUCACCGGGGACGAUAAUGACGGUACCCGGAGAAGAAGCCCCGGCUAACUUCGUG